CCUACGGGAGGCAGCAGUGGGGAAUAUUGCGCAAUGGGCGAAAGCCUGACGCAGCGACGCCGCGUGAGGGAUGAAGGUCUUCGGAUCGUAAACCUCUGUCAGCAGGGAAGAACGGUCACUGUGCUAAUCAGCAGUGAAUUGACGGUACCUGCAAAGGAAGCACCGGCUAACUCCGUGCCAGCAGCCGCGGUAAUGCGGAGGGUGCGAGCGUUAAUCGGAAUUACUGGGCGUAAAGCGCUCGUAGGCGGUAUGUCAAGUCAAGGGUGAAAGCCCCGCGCUCAACGUGGGAACUGCCUUUGAAACUGGCAAACUGGAGUGUGUGAGAGGAUAGUGGAAUUCCAUGUGUAGGAGUGAAAUCCGUAGAUAUCUGGAGGAACAUCAGUGGCGAAGGCGACUAUCUGGCACAUAACUGACGCUGAGGAGCGAAAGCGUGGGUAGCAAACAGGAUUAGAUACCCGAGUAGUC
rnacentral:rRNA from 1 species